rnacentral:sRNA from 1 species
CUAGUGGCCAGUGAGGCCCGCAGCAGCUCACAGCCUGCAGGGGUGGUUUUGAGGCGGGGGCUACAAGCACUCGCCGGGGCCGCGGCGCUGCGGGCUCCAUCGGGCAGCUCGCACCGCCUGAGCGCCCGCUGCUUCCACGCCCGGCAGGUUCAACAAACACCUGGAUCGCGGCUUCAACUCGUGCGCGCGCAGCGACCUGUACUUCGUGCCACUGGAGGGCUCCAAGCUGGCCAAGAAGCGGGCCGACCUGGUGGAGAAGGUGCGGCGCGAGGCCGAGCAGCGCGCGCGCGAAGAAAAGGAGCGCGAGCGCGAGCGGGAACGCGAGAAAGAGCGCGAGCGCGAGAAGGAGCGCGAGCUUGAACGCAGCGUGAAGUUGGCUCAGGAGGGCCGUGCUCCGGUGGAAUGCCCAUCUCUGGGCCCAGUGCCCCAUCGCCCUCCAUUUGAACCGGGCAGUGCGGUGGCUACAGUGCCCCCCUACCUGGGUCCUGACACUCCAGCCUUGCGCACUCUCAGUGAAUAUGCCCGGCCUCAUGUCAUGUCUCCUGGCAAUCGCAACCAUCCAUUCUACGUGCCCCUGGGGGCAGUGGACCCGGGGCUCCUGGGUUACAAUGUCCCGGCCCUGUACAGCAGUGAUCCAGCUGCCCGGGAGAGGGAACGGGAAGCCCGUGAACGAGACCUCCGUGACCGCCUCAAGCCUGGCUUUGAGGUGAAGCCUAGUGAGCUGGAACCCCUACAUGGGGUCCCUGGGCCGGGCUUGGAUCCCUUUCCCCGACAUGGGGGCCUGGCUCUGCAGCCUGGCCCACCUGGCCUGCACCCUUUCCCCUUUCAUCCGAGCCUGGGGCCCCUGGAGCGAGA